UGCNCAACUAAGGAGAAACUGCAAUAUAUAUUAAUAGAAAAUAAUAGCGCUUAUGAAAUAUUGUCCUCAAUCAAAAUUAACACCAAAAAACAUAUUUUUUUUUCCAAUUUGUAAAAGAUUAAGAACCAAUGGGUUCAUACAGUUCUUUCCCAUCGACACAACAGUUUUAACUCCAACCAAAAUAUUUACAAGACUUUCACACACUACAAAGUGGCAGACAGAAUUUUUUUUAUAAAAAAAAGCACAGGAAAAUGAUCAGAAAUUUUAAAAUUUUAACCUAAAAUAUAACAUUACAUGUUUUUGGACCACAGAAAUUUGAUAAAAAUAGAAACAAAUUAAAAAGAAGAUAGGAAAAUGAAACAGUCAACACAAAAAAUGAUCCCAAUAAUCCAAUCGGAACGUGAUAACAAGACAAUACAGAUCUAAAUAACUAAUACACUUUACAAGUAAAAUCCGAAGUAAAUGCACGCACAUAUUCAACAUACACAUCUAUGUAUUUAUGAACAGAUAUUCACAGUCUAAUAUAUAUUUAUAGGAGAGGUAGAGUAAAUACCAUCCGUGCAGGCGUUUAUGGAGGUUGAUUGUAUAUUCCCUUGCGACGACUUCCUCUUUCCUCGCCUUGCUGCCCUUUUCCACCAUUUUUGUAGCCGCUGUAACACUGAUGUUUUUUUCCCGGCGCUUCGAGCCGCUGCUAGAGAAACCCUAGUCGCUUUGAAGGAACAUAUAUAGCGGGUGCUUCGUAAUUGGCAAAGGAGCCCACAGUUUGGGCCUAGGUCCGGCCCAGGUAAAUGAUUGGGUAUAGUACGGGUCAGAGACGCCUAAAAUCGUAAAUAUUUUUAACCUUUUAUCUUUACCAUUUAAAAAUGAAUAAUGUUAUUUAAAUUCAUUGAGG
rnacentral:lncRNA from 1 species